rnacentral:lncRNA from 1 species
CUGUAUAUUUUUUUUUUUGAUAAUGGAAAUUCAAAUAAUUUGAAAACAAAAAGAUUUAUUAAAAGAUCUGAAAGAGAAUAUUAAUCAAAUGAUUUCAAAACCUGAAUUUCAAAACUUGAAAGCCAUAAUAAAAGAUUCGAAAGAGAACAUUUGUACCCCCUAAAACAACAGGAUCGCAUCCAGGUUACAGUAUUGAAAUUAGAAUCUACCACUAUUAUUACACAACAUCUCUUACCAAAUCAGAUCAUCUUCGAUAAGAAGAAUCACUGUCAACUAUUCCAGCUAUGACUUGCACUUGAAUCUCUGUAGCACAGCUCUAGCUUGCACCAACCUCAUCAACUUUCCUGAACACUCCUCGCCUAGCCUUAGCUUUACUCGCAAUCAUAGACUAGCCAUUCAUCUUUAAUCCUUUCUGAAAUGGUUAAGAAAGGAAUAGCAAGAGUGAGCAACAAUGCUCAGCAAGUAAUAAUAAACAAUAACAAUAGUGAAUCAAUAUGAUAGAAGUUCAAAGGCUCAAGAUACUUUAGUAAAAGAUUCGACAUAAAUUCAUAAGAUUAAGGUAUUGUAUAGAAUGAUUCACAAUACCUUGCAACAAUGGAAUACUGGAGUAAUUCAAUCUUUCCAAGAGAAUUAUUGAAUUGGACUAUCACAUUUUAAUUAAAACAAAGGUUAGGAUGCUGAUCAGUCAUACCUAACCCCGAGCAGGCCCCGCCAUGCUCUGUCACUGGAUCCAAGGCACUCAUUGGCCUAACAUGACCACUCAUCUGGUCUGACCACUCAUUUGGUCCACAAAAUUUUAUAAAAACAAUAAUCCAAUUCUAUAAUUCAAUUCAACAGGUCAGUGUAAAUCAACAGAACAUCCUCAUAAAUAUCAUCAACAACAGAUUAAUUUCAAAUCAAACUUGGAUAAUAAUCUAUCCAUAAAUCAUGAUCCAUCAUUUCAUAAAUCACAGUUCAGGAAAUCCUCAACUAUUCAGUAUCCUCCAUUAUCGGCUAAGCAACUGAAUUUAGCCUGCUAAACCAGCAUGACAAUGGCGGGUUGAAUAAUCAAGAAGAUCCCAAUUCAUUCAAAGCUCUAACUAUCACUGAGCAACACAUGCUUCAAUGACAAUCUGAACUUCGAAUUAAUUUGUAAAACGGAAAUUCUUUAGAAACUUGAAGAUUAGAAAGAAUGGGUCAGAAUACUCGCACUUUCGAACAUUGAAAAGAAAGGUAUGAAUACUUGAAACAUAUACCAAAGGAAUGGAUCAGAAUAUUUGCAAUAUAUCCAAGAGAAAGGUUUAGGAUACUUGCCUUAAAUCUGACUCCAGUCUCACAUCUCAAUCUCAUCUUUCCACUUUCACAAUCUAUGCAUCUCAUAGUCUCUAGACCAUCUCUGGCUAUACUCUAUCUACCGUACAUCUUCGCUUCGCUUACUCGAUUCAUCCCUUAUUCGCUUUGUAACACCACGUGACUUUCUGAACGUCUUCGGGCAUACACGUCUCGUCCAAAUCCUUUACGAGAAUAAGAUAAUACUAUAGUCACUAAACAAUAUAUCGCAUAUACAUAUCACGUAUAUCGAUACCCACUUAUAUACCCCUUUAAACUUAUCACAUAUCACUUAACACGUAAUCAUGCUUUGACUCUACCAUAUAGUCAAGUCAUAUUCCACAUAACAUAUUACCAAUCACUUAUCAUAUGAAUCCUAUCGAAAAUCCGACAUCGUCUCGUCUAUUUAUUAGACUAUCCACCUGUUAUCCUAUCUCAAUCAACAAUCAACCAACAAGAUCCAAUCACUAUAAUCCAUAUAUUCUUAUCCAAUAUCAAUCAACUCACGACACUAUGUCAUCCAAAUCAUUUAUCACACGCAUAUACUAUCAUGAAUAAACAUGUAUAUCACGUAGUCAUUAGUUAAUAGCAACCAAAUAACAUAUAAUCACAUUUUGCACAUUUAACAAAAAUUAUUCAGAUUCUCGACUCCAUCAUAAUAUUAUGUCAUAUCAAACUAGACUUUAUAAGCUUCUGUCUCUCUUUCGUUUCACUUGAUUCCGACUUACGGAUCAAAAGUUAUGAUCAAAACCGUUUUCUAACUCCUCUAUCGGCACAUAACACAUCAAACAGAUAGCAGACAACACAUUACACAUAAGGUUUCCCACCCCAAUUGAUAUCAAAUCAACUCUUGGGUUAAAAAUGAUUUUUCGGGAAUUUUCUGGAAUUUUUAAACAUUUUUCGGAAUUAAAAUCGAUAAAAGAAUCACUUUUCGGAUAAAUAAUCAAGUCCCAAAUACUUGAAAUUGGACUUGAAAUCAUUCAUAAACAAUUAUCGAGCCUUGAAAAUAAUUUGGAAAAAUAUUUUAAAGCUCGAAACUAUUUUUCGGAAUUUUUAAAUCAAAAAGGAUUAAUUAAAUCCAAUUAAUUAAUCAAUUAAAAUCAAUUAAUAAUUAAUUAAAAUAAUUAAUCAAUUAAUAUUUAAAUUAAUUGACCAAUUAAAAUAAUUAAUUACUAAUUAAAAUUAAUUAAUAAACUAAUUUAGAUUUAUUUUUGAAUAAAGAAAUAAUUAAAAACUAUUUUUGGAAUUUAAAAUAAUUAAAUAAAACAAUUUUAGAAAAUUAAAUCAAAAGGUUUAUUUUGUAAACUUUUGAAAGUUUUUGUCCAGGGUUUAAAGUGUAACUUUCAAAAGUUACAGGGGGUGUUUUGUAAGAUUCAAAACUUAGGUACAACAACUUCACCACCUUCAAAACUUCGGUGACCAAACAGCAAUUUGCCGUCGGCCACCAUACUAACUCGCCGGAAACCUCGUUCCCGGCCUCCCCGAGCUCCCACAAACUCCAGAUAGCAUAUUUGGAAUACCAUAAACGUAAAACCGCCCUCAGAUUCAUCAGAAGCGGCCAUAUUUGGCCAUAGAAUGCAAAACAAAACUCGCCGCCGGCGACUUCCUUUUGAACUCCGGCGAGCCAUUUCCAGACAUCCCACAUAACUGUUGAACAUACACACAAGUUCCUCUCAUCACGCUCUUUCUAAUGAUAUAGAUCACAAUAGCCCAGAAUUUCUAGAUUAAAAACGCCUCUUUUUCAAUUAAGAAAAUUCAUAAACCUCCAAGAACAUUCAAGAACACAACUCCGAGAAUUAAACCAACGUUUCUAUAUGUUAUCGAAGUCAAAAUUCGACAUAUAAUAUACCAAAACGACGAGAAAAACAUGCUCUACAACAUAGAAUCAUCAAAACAACCAAAUAAUAUCAUUUACAAAAAUUCAUCCUUUAAAUCAAAAUAGCUCGAAUUUUGUAAAAUUUAUGUAAAAUCACCUGAUAAAUCUGCAUACAAACGGGUGAUUAAACAUGAUUCUACGCGUCGAUAGCUUCGUUUUGACUAUUCGUACACCUCCAUCGGAUUCCAAUAACACCUCCAAAUCCUCGUUUGAUUAUGAAGAACACGAAGAACACCGCUCGGUUUCUCUCGGUAUUUGUGAAAAGAAACUGGUGAAAAUGAUUUCUACGGUGAAAAUCAGCUAUAGAAAAGUCUAUUUAUAUUUACAAAUACUUGGUACCCCUUUGGAUCGUUUAUGACAUGAAAAUACGUAUUUAAUAGCUUUAUAUUAAUAAAGCGGGGUCCAAUCGGUACUGGUUUUCAAGAUAAUCAUCAAAACGGGGCUUUUUAAUCAGUCAUUAGUAUGCGGGUCCCACUGCAAUUAUUACAAGAUAAGGAUGAAUCAAAAUAUCUAGUUUCACGUUUAUCGAGACAACCAGAU